GUCUCUGUGGUGUAUCUGGUUAGCGUGUUCGGCUGUUAACCAAAAGGUUGGUGGUUCAAGCCCAUCCAGGGACC
rnacentral:tRNA from 1 species